rnacentral:rRNA from 1 species
UGAGACUGGGAUAACUUCGGGAAACCGGAGCUAAUACCGGAUAAUAUAAGGAACCUCCUGGUUCCUUAUUGAAAGAUGGUUUCGGCUAUCACUUAAGGAUGGGCCCGCGGCGCAUUAGCUAGUUGGUGAGGUAACGGCUCACCAAGGCGACGAUGCGUAGCCGACCUGAGAGGGUGAUCGGCCACACUGGGACUGAGACACGGCCCAGACUCCUACGGGAGGCAGCAGUAGGGAAUCUUCCACAAUGGACGAAAGUCUGAUGGAGCAACGCCGCGUGAGUGAUGAAGGCCUUCGGGUCGUAAAGCUCUGUUGUUAGGGAAGAACAAGUGCGAGAGUAACUGCUCGCACCUUGACGGUACCUAACCAGAAAGCCACGGCUAACUACGUGCCAGCAGCCGCGGUAAUACGUAGGUGGCAAGCGUUAUGGGGAAAAAUUGGGCGUAAAGCGCGCGCAGGUGGUUUCUUAAGUCUGAUGUGAAAGCCCACGGCUCAACCGUGGACCGUCAUUGGAAACUGGGGAACUUGAGUGCAGAAGAGGAUUGUGGAAUUCCAAGUGUAGCGGUGAAAUGCGUAGAGAUUUGGAGG